rnacentral:rRNA from 1 species
UAGGCUCGUAGUUGGAUUUCGGAGGUCCUUAGCAGUCCGCCCCUUCGGGGAGCGGGUUGCUGGCCUCCUAUGUUCCUAACGGUCCUCAUCCGCGAGGGUGGGGAAUCAACCGCUAGGAUCGUUUACUUUGAGGAAAUUAGAGUGUUCAAAGCAGGCGUAACUCGCCUCCGAAUACGUUAGCAUGGGAUAAUGGAAUACGACUUCGGUCUUGUUUCGUUGGUUUCGCUUGGCUGAAGUAAUGAUUGAUAGGGACAGUUGGGGGCAUUAGUAUUUAGUUGUCAGAGGUGAAAUUCUAGGAUUUACUAAAGACUGACCAAUGCGAAAGCAUUUGCCAAGGAUGUUUUCAUUAAUCAAGAACGAAAGUAGGGGGAUCGAAGACGAUCAGAUACCGUCGUAGUCUCUACCGUAAACUAUGCCGACCAGGGAUCCGGAGAGUUUGCAUGGAUGACUCCCCGGGCACCUUGUGAGAAAUCAUAAGUGUUUGGGUUUUGGGGGGAGUAUGGUCGCAAGGCUGAAACUUAAAGGAAUUGACGGAAGGGCACCACCAGGAGUGGAACCUGCGGCUUAAUUUGACUCAACACGGGGAAACUUACGAGGUCAGGACACUGUGAGGAUUGAAGUGUGCCCCCCCCCCCAAACAAAAAA